rnacentral:rRNA from 1 species
UAGGGAAUAUUGGACAAUGGGGGCAACCCUGAUCCAGCCAUGCCGCGUGAGUGAAGAAGGCCCUCGGGUUGUAAAGCUCUUUUGUCCGGAAAGAAAAGCAUUCGGUGAAUACCCGGAUGUUCUGACGGUACCGGAAGAAUAAGCACCGGCUAACUUCGUGCCAGCAGCCGCGGUAAUACGAAGGGUGCAAGCGUUACUCGGAAUUACUGGGCGUAAAGCGUGCGUAGGUGGUUGUUUAAGUCUGAUGUGAAAGCCCUGGGCUCAACCUGGGAACGGCAUUGGAAACUGGGCAGCUAGAGUGCGGUAGAGGGUAGUGGAAUUCCCGGUGUAGCAGUGAAAUGCGUAGAGAUCGGGAGGAACAUCUGUGGCGAAGGCGACUGCCUGGACCAGCACUGACACUGAGGCACGAAAGCGUGGGGAGCAAACA